ACUCUCUGGAGACACCCGGACACGACGAGCCGGGGGCCGAAGGUGCAAGAUGCGUGCAUGCACGCAGGAAUCUCUCAGGCAAAUGGACAGAGAAG
rnacentral:ncRNA from 1 species